rfam:Ipomoea nil DNA, scaffold: scaffold0140, cultivar: Tokyo-kokei standard.
GGUCUUGUAACUUAGUUGGUUAGAGUGUGGUUCUUAUGAGCUAAAAGUUGUGGGUUCAAGUCCCAUUAAGACCA